CACUGAUUGGUCACUCAAGGUCACUCCUGGUCACUCAGUGGUCACUCAGGGUCACUCACGGGUCACUCAGUGGUCACUCAUUGAUCACUCAUUGGUCACUCAAGGUCACUCCUGGUCACUCAUUGGUCACUCAGGGUCACUCAGGGUCAGUCACGGGUCACUCAGUGGUCACUCACAGUCACUCAGUGUUCACUCAGGGGUCACUCAUUGGUCACUCAGGGUCACUCCUGGUCACUCACGGGUCACUCAGGGUCACUCAUGGGUCACUCACGGGUCACUCAGGGUCAGUCCUGGUCAGUCCUGGUCACUCAGGGUCAGUCAGGGUCAGUCCUGGUCACUCCUGGUCACUCAGGGUCACUCAGGGGUCACUCAGGGUCAGUCCUGGUCACUCCUGGUCACUCACAGUCACUCAGUGUUCACUCAGGGUCACUCAUUGGUCACUCAGGGUCACUCACGGGUCACUCACGGGUCACUCAGGGUCAGUCCUGGUCACUCCUGGUCACUCAGUGGUCACUCAGUGGUCACUCCUGGUCACUCUGGGCCCCUCCCUCACCCCGUCCCUUCCCCCCCAGCGCCAGGAGCGCAGCGCGGAGCGGCCGGCGCGCCUCGAGCUCGAGAGAUUCGAGCGCCGGGCGCUGGAGCUGAAGGCGGCUGAGCUGGAGGAGGAGCUGAAGGCGCUCUCGGACCUUCGGGCCGACAACCAACGGCUGAAGGACGAGAACGCGGCGCUGAUCAGGGUCAUCAGCAAACUCUCCAAAUGACCCCAAAGCCCCCCUAAAAACCCCCCCAGGACCCCCCAAAUCCGCCCCAAAUCCGCCAAACCUCUCCCGUAGCGGGGGCGGAGCCAAACGCGCCAGGGGCGUGGCCAACAGGAGUGGGUGGAGCCGAUGCCAAGGGGCCGUGGCCAAAGCUUUAGGGGGCGUGGCCAAACACGGGGGCGGAGCCGAGUUAAUUGCACUGAUGUGAAAGCUGCCAAAGGGGUGUGGCCAAAACGGGGGCGUGGUCUGUGCGCACCAGGCCCCGCCCCACCUCUUCCCGCAUGCUGUUCAUCCAAUCAGACCGCGGGGGGCGGGGCCUCCUCGCACCCCGCCCAUCCCGCAGACCCCGCCCCUCCCCUCCAAUCCCCGCGAAUACUUUUUGUGAAAAAAAAACGAGGAAAAAACGAAAAAAGAGGAAAUAACUGAAUAAAAGGAAAGCCGUGGGGAGGGCGCA
rnacentral:lncRNA from 1 species